ACACACACACACACACACACACACACACACACACACACACACACACACACACACACACACACACACACACACACACAUGAACACCCGCCGGGAAAAGUAAAGGUGGAAUCGCCAAUGUGUGUAUAUGACUCUGGAUGUUGGUUUGAACAAUAAAGCACGCGCUGCAGAAUUCAUUUCAGCUUGUGGAUCUGCUGCGCAACGAAAAUGGAAAGAGUGGAGGACUCCAUGAACCAGGUGCACACAAAAUGCAAAGUGGACUGCCUUCUUCUUCAUUGCAGUGGUGGCUGACCAUCAUGGACAUGGAAAGACCAUUCAUCUUACUAAUACCAGAGGUGAGUGAUCAUGAAGUGUGGAGACUCCAGUGAAAAAGUUGGGACCCAAGCGUAUCAAUCAUCAUCAUGCCUGCAAAUGGAGAUCUCUCAUCACACACCACACUAGACAAGAUUCAUCUUCACCUGACCAUCAGAGUCCUGAUAGUGGAUUAGGAAGUGCUCACCAUCGUAGUCAUAAGAAGUGGGCAUCUUUACCGGCUUCAUGGAAACUGGAGAGCUGACACACCAAAAGGGUUUCUUGGAUUCAUCCAGCAGAGUCAGACUCAUGAUGCAGCAAUUCUGAAAAAUAAAAAUAAACCUGUGUCACAAC